rnacentral:rRNA from 1 species
GAUGAACGCUGGCGGCGUGCCUAAUACAUGCAAGUCGAGCGAAUGGAUUAAGAGCUUGCUCUUAUGAAGUUAGCGGCGGACGGGUGAGUAACACGUGGGUAACCUGCCCAUAAGACUGGGAUAACUCCGGGAAACCGGGGCUAAUACCGGAUAAUACUUUGAACUGCAUGGUUCAAAAUUGAAAGGCGGCUUCGGCUGUCACUUAUGGAUGGACCCGCGUCGCAUUAGCUAGUUGGUGAGGUAACGGCUCACCAAGGCAACGAUGCGUAGCCGACCUGAGAGGGUGAUCGGCCACACUGGGACUGAGACACGGCCCAGACUCCUACGGGAGGCAGCAGUAAGGAAUCUUCCGCAAUGGCCGAAAGUCUGACGGAGCAACGCCGCGUGAGUGAUAAAGGCUUUCGGGUCGUAAAACUCUGUUGUUAGGGAAGAACAAGUGCUAGUUGAAUAAGCUGGCACCUUGACGGUACCUAACCAGAAAGCCACGGCUAACUACGUGCCAGCAGCCGCAGUAA